AUGAAAAUGAAGCAGUUCCACUUUUUCCUUCUCUUAACUAUUCUUCUUUUCCUUACACCUACAUCUUAUACCAUAAGAACCAAAUUUUCAGGCCCUUCAACUUCAACUCAACAACAAGUUUUUCAUCAUCGAUGCGCCAAUUCUCCAAUCAGCUGCAGAGGUAGAGAGUUUGAAUCUCAGAAACGAAGAGUUCCUACAGGUUCCAAUCCAUUACAUAAUAAGAGAUAG